AGUCACUGAAUCACCUGUAAAGACAACUGACUUUGAGAAUAUAUGCAGACCUUGUGGAUGUCACCUGAAGCUUUUUCCACUGAUCCCAAUAAGAAAUAGGUCUUCUGGAUGCAGAAGACAAUACUUAUUCCAAAUGACAAUUGCUACUAUACUUCCAUUUUUUUUGACCUUCAAUAUGAAUUUCAUCUUUAAACAGUCCCAUACGGAUACAAGUUUUCAGAACUGUUUUGAUUCAAACUCACUUUGCUCUUAUCUAACCUGUGACCUGCUGCUUUCAGUCUUGUUCAUGGUGACUCAUGACAGGAGGAGGUGCUGGAGUUUCCUGAAUGUAUUCCUUUGUCGAGGCAGAAUUUAAGAACUUUGUUACUGUGUCUGACAUUUCCAAACAUACAGCUGAGAAAUGCACAGCAACUCCAGACAACCUGCAGCUUCUUUGGAAAUCACAAAUACGAAUGUGAUGGAGGAUGCUCAGAGGAACAGAAAAGAAGAGCUCUCAUUUGUCUUCACCUUCUUCCCUUCAGAUUGCAAUUCUAAUAAGACAGUUUAACUUUGCUUCUGAUUACUGGUAGCAAAACCCCCUAGAUAAGCAUAUAUAAUAAUUAACCAAACAGAAAAAUAACCAAACAGUGUGGACAAGAUAACAGAAAGAACAUAAAGUAGACUAGGGUAAGACUCAGCUCUGGUCCUCUGCCUGCGAUAUGUAUUGGUGUCUAAUAAACCUAAUAAAAAUAAGGUUUUAAAAGUUUUAAUGCAGAAUAAGAAUGUGAUCUAGUAAGAAUAGCAGAAAUUUAAAGAGAUGAUUCACAUGGAAGUGAUACAAAAUUAAAUGUCUUGAGCUAUUUGGGAAGGAUAGUGUUAAAAGAGAGAAGAUACACCUUUAUGUAUCAAGGAUGUGAUUGUUCACUCUGAAGUCCAAUAUGCAGAGGAUGUUAGAAGUAGAGAAAGCAGGAAAAAGGCACUAACACAGCUGGCAGUAUGCUGGGGAUCUACUAUAAACCUUGAAACCAGAAUCAUCUGAGCAAGGCUUACCAAUGCUUUCUAGCACAAUAUAGCAGUGUUAAUUAAGAAGUAGAAUGUGCAGGUUUUGCAACCACAGGACCACCCUUAAGGUUCUGAUAGUUUAAAAAUCUUAGAACUGCCUGGAUUAUUCUCCUUUGUUAAAGGAGAUUUACCUAUGGAAGCAUCUGCUGAAAGAGAAAAUAAAGAACAAAAGGUAUCUAACCGUUGAGGGAUUUUUGAAACAGCAAAUAUCCCAUGGCUUGCUGCAGCUGAGCAAACCAAGCUACCAGGACGACUAUGAGAAGUUCCAAUGACAGUGUUCCUACAUCACCCAACUGAGGAAUUUAGAAAAAUAUUGUUGCCAGCAGCUGACUUCAAGGACGGGAUUUAUGUGACUGCUAAUCACAAGGGGGUUGUUUUCUUGCAGGUGGGGUUGUUUUUGUGCAGUAGUUUGUCUGAGUGCUUUUGACAAAUAAUCUUGUGUGAGACACUAUCCGCCCCUGUUAAGUUUACCAUAAAAGUCAGGCUACUCUGGUAAUAAAAUGGAGCA